CGAGGUAAACAUCGGCUUACUG
rnacentral:miRNA from 1 species